GAUGAACGCUGGCGGCGUGCCUAAUACAUGCAAGUCGAACGCUGAAGGAGGAGCUUGCUCUUCUGGAUGAGUUGCGAACGGGUGAGUAACGCGUAGGUAACCUGCCUGGUAGCGGGGGAUAACUAUUGGAAACGAUAGCUAAUACCGCAUGACAACAGUUAUUGCAUGAUAACUGUUUAAAAGGGGCAACUGCUCCACUACCAGAUGGACCUGCGUUGUAUUAGCUAGUUGGUGAGGUAACGGCUCACCAAGGCGACGAUACAUAGCCGACCUGAGAGGGUGGUCGGCCACACUGGGACUGAGACACGGCCCAGACGCCUUCGGGAGGCAGCAGUAGGGAAUCUGCGGCAAUGGACGGAAGUCUGACCGAGCAACGCCGCGUGAGUGAAGAAGGUUUUCGGAUCGUAAAGCUCUGUUGUAAGAGAAGAACGAGUGUGAGAGUGGAAAGUUCACACUGUGACGGUAUCUUACCAGAAAGGGACGGCUAACUACGUG
rnacentral:rRNA from 1 species